UAACCAUGGUGGGGGCAAAAGGCUUGUAAUUCUUUGUACUUUUUUCAUGCUUGAUAUAAAGUUUCGUUGUCCUUUUAUACAAAAGAAGAAAUUUUUUUUUAAAGCAG
rnacentral:snoRNA from 1 species